CUCCGAUUUUCAUUGCUAAAGGGACCUCCAUCAUGUCCCUGUUGCAGAUCAGGACACCUCCUUUGGUGCCUGAUACAAUUAUGCAGCGCAGACAUCUGGCCAGAAGGUGUGGUUCAGGCAGCCAGGAUGUGCCCCACACAAGUGGAAGUGUUGACCUACGAUAGAAAUACUGCUUGUAUCUUGCCCUGGAGAGCAGACCUUCCCCUCUUGGUACCUCUGAAACAUCUGUAUUACUCCCCGUGAGUCUGUGAGCCUUCAGGAUCACUGAACGGAACAAAAUGCCAUCAAAGCGUUCCAGUGCUACUGGAAUGUAGUGCAACACCCGAUGAUGGUCUACACGGGACUGAUAGAACAUAGAACAGACCUGCACCUCACGGCUACAUGCCUCCAGUAACAUCAUCGAGCAGUGGCCCAUAAAGGAAUAUGGACAUUCACUGAUCAUCACUCAAAUUGUACCAACAUGUGUCACGAUGAAAACUGUAUAAGCAUUGUGAUAUAGCGGAUCUCUGUAUUAGGGAAAGCUUACCCUUUAGUCAACCUGAUCAUUGGUUCAUGCUGUGAAGUGGUGGAGUGUAUGGGAACUGCUGAGUCACGGCCUGAACCUCUGAUUCAUCACCUGAGUCGAGCAGUGAGUCAGCCAGAGGAGUACAGGUGAAGGCAGUUCACCUGUACUGCUGGAAGGGGUGGAGCUCCUCAAUAUAUUUAAGAGCUGGCUACCAGUGGGGAAGGAUCUCUUCUGGAGUUCUGCUCUGCUGGAGUUUUGUAAGUGAGCCCAGGAUAGGGUUUCUUAACACUUCCAGAUAUAUUUUAGAAUACCAGAAAAGUUCUACUAAAAAGAAAUUCACUGUGGAAGAAUGAAACAGAGUAUACAAGCAUGCUCAGAAGUAACCAAUGGAAGUUCAAGGCUUUGUGAGCUGCAGAUUGAAAAUCACUGUUGAAUGUAUAUAGAGUAAGAAAUUAAAGUAAUAAUUUAAUUGCAAUAGUCAGAUGAAAAACGAAACCCUUAAAUCCAUAAGUAUUAAGGAAAAUAAAAGCAUAUUUUCAAUGAACAGUUUUCAGUCCUACUUUUAAACAACAUUCCAUUAAGUCCAAAAGCCUCUUUACCUUUAGUUUGGCAGUACCUGUGUCAGAAAAGACUCAGUGCUAUUUCUAAUUUAAGAAAAAAAGCCUUGGACCUCUCCCCAGUUCAUCUUGUACCAAGGUCAGUAUACCCCACACCCUAGCUGCUUGGGAGUACUAAGACAUUGCAAGAUAUAUCACUUCACUUUCCAGCCAUAUUGUUGACUUACUUUCAGAUUAUUUGAAGAGUUCCUCUAGUUCCUCUGAUAGGUAUUGAUUGAAAUGUUGAAAAAGUCUUCAGCAAGUCACUAUCUCAUCAUGCAUUUCACACUCUGCAAAAAAAAAAAUUCUUUUAGUUGUUGCUGUUUCUUCCUAGCACAGCAGUUUUAGUAGGCCUUUUUCUGUUCUUCAUAACCUAGCAAAAUAACUCUUGCUACUGUUACAUCGGAAGAGAGGAAAUGAGGCCAGGGACUGAAACUCGUUACCAUAAAUUAUAAUAUACUUCCCUCCCUUGAGGUCUCAAUUAAAAGGUACUGAGGAAAAAAAUAAAAGACUGAAAAUAUACUAGCGGAAAUAUUUAAAGCUGAAUUUUGUCUUUGGUCUUGUUUUUCUAUUCCCAGGGUUGUCACAGACUUCAAAGAAAUCCUGCCAGUGAAUAUUGCUGAAGAAUUUUUUAUAAACAUUCAUAUUUACCUAAUUCCCUUCCUAUAUUUACCUCCUCUCACACAGUUGGAAUAUUUACAGAAAAGAUUUUACAAAUAGAGUGAAAGAGCAACAUUAGAAGAAGAAUUAAUUAAUUCUACCUCUCUAGAAGAGAAAUAAUAGCAGCUAGAUGCAACAAACCUGUGCCUAUAGCAGUGGGAAGAGGGUUCUACAUCCUCGGUUUGGUUUACAGAGCUUUUGAUCUUGCAUAUCCCAGUAGAUGUGAAGGAUCCAUGUGCAGGUAUAAUAAUAUGUAGAGGAGAAGAAGAAGAAAAAGUAAUAACCAGAUUUUCUAAGCCAGGAAUAAUGAGAACAAAUGGAUGGAGCAUCAUUUCAGCCUGGGAGAAGAUACUAGUCAGUGAUUUCCUGACUCUGAAAACAGAUUUCCACCAGCUGCCUACAUGACGAACAGUACCUGAUUUUCAUCAGCUUAGGGCCUACAAAAAGAAUAAAAUCAAAGAUCUGUGCAGGAGCCAGAAGCGAGUCUGAAUUUCCUUUGAUUAUGAAAGCAUUGCCCAAUCAUGAAGAGAAGAAAUUGCGAAGGCCAAAGGUGGAGUUGAAAUUGAAAGAUGUAAAUGGCAACAUGUAAGUUUUCUGCAGGUACAUCAGCAGAAAAGAAACACAAACAACAAAAACAUGGGAAAAAAAAAAACAAACAACAUUGUUGAAAGGGACAGAUAAAUGCAGAAAUCAAGGAGAUGGGAAAACUUGUAGUAGUCCUAGCAGUGGAAUUUGGAUAAAGACAGGUGCCUUAUCCUAUUUGAAUAGUGAGGAAAAAUUAAUAAAGUAGACAUACGCAAUGCACAAAACUAGUCAUGGUAUAUCUGAGGAACCUGACUGAUGAAAAAAAAAAAAAUGGAGUCUUACAGACUCCUACGAAUGAGGUAAUUGAGAACAGUCAGCAUGACUUAGUCUGGGACAAAUUUUACUUGACCAGCCUGAAUGUUUUAAUCAUUAAAUGAGUGGCUCUGAGCAAAGCUGAUUAACUGACUUUAUAAGGCUUUAUACACACUUUUAAAUAAGAUCUUUUAAUCAGACUUGACAGAUGUAUUUUGGAUAGGAGAAGUAAAGGGAGGUGGAAAGCUAGAUGGACUGAUAUGUCCUGAGUCAGUUUUUCAAAAAUCUAACCAACAGGCUGCUAGCAAAUAUAUUCCUCAGGAACUGGUACUGAGACAGUACAAGUUAUCAGUUAUUACCUUCAGUAGUGGUAUAGAUAAUUACAAAUAAAUCAAGCUUGCGGGGUGGAAGAGGGGGCAGUGGCUGUUAAAUUGGAGAGUAAGUUAGUCUUUCUAAAGGACAUUCACUGACAGGAAAAAUAAACUGCCAGCUACUUCAUGAAGUUCAGCAAAAUCAAAUACAAGGAGGCAAAACUUCAUCAGCUAGAGAUUUAUAAAUAAAAGUUUUACACCAGUUAAGCUCUGAACCAAGCUGCCUAGAGUUUCUGUGUACUUUCCAACUCUGGAGAUUUUAAAAACUCAGUUGGACAAAGCACUGAAUGAACAACCUUACCUAACUUGGAAAAUAACCCUGAUUUGAGUUUGGACUUCAUGACCUCCAGUGGUCCAACUUAAAUUAUUCUACAGUUUAAUGAUGUAGUAUUGCCAACUGCAGUAUAGAUAGGGUUUUGGCAUCUUUAAUUAAGUGGUAAUGGAAGGGGGAUUUGAGAUUGCAGUGGUUAUAGUAGAAAAUAAGGUCUAUUUAUGUUCAAUCUGUAGUCCCAGUUUUCAUUCUUCAAUCCCUAUGUUAAACAGCAGUUGCGCUGCCUCAUAUGUUUACUGUGAAUACAGCUGCACUAGUCUGAGGUACCUUAAACCAAGUUCAUGAAGGUUAUGAGGUUUUUAAGUUGUUAUCUCAUGAGCUCCUUGGAAACGUACUAAUCACAGUCUACUAUGUAAAAACACAAAACCAUGACUGUUCUAUGGACCUAGUACCUGACCAAUAUCCAAAUAUCUUUCUCCUCCAUGGGAUUUCCAAAAAUUAAGGAAGGUACCAUAGAUCUGUUUUGAGCAAUGGACCAACUCCAUUUUGCAGAAAGAAGUGGAACUAGACAAGUUUGCCACAAUGCAAUUAAACUGAAGAAUAUAGAAUGAGGGAUGAAAAAUAAAUAAUGAGGAAAUAAAACUAAGGAAAUGUAUUAAUUCCAGGGAGACUGCCACCAACAUCUGAUGUGGUUAGUACAGUAGAUCAGUACUGGGAAGAAACAGAUUCACUUGAAUAAUCGGGGAAAUUGCAAGGCUAAGUUUCCCAAGCCACUACACGUACAUUUCCUUGAGUUUGUUUCAUCUGUAUUAAAUCAUUUGCUGUCUUGAUUAUCUUUUGAAUCUACAUGCUGCUAACUGUUUUAGUAGAAUUAAAGUGAUUUGUGAGCAAACUAGGAUAAGAGUUCUCCAUUCUUUUCUUUGCCUCUGCACACACUUUCAGCGGCAGAGAUGAAUUAUUGAUUCAUGCAUGCCAGCCACUCUAGGCCAUGACAGUGGGAUCCAAAAAGAAAAGGGGCUAAAUAUUUAACAUGAGAUUUGAAGAGAUUUGAAGAAGUUUGGCAACACUUAACUAAGUAUUUUGAUCCAAGAAAAAUCCUUCUCUAGCUCCAGAAAUGCUUGAAUCAUACAAGUGUCUACAUUUCCCUCCUGUAAAGCAUCAUGUCCUUCCUUUCUAGGCAUAUAAGUGUUAUAUUUUCUCUCAUCUACCAGUUUCUCUUUUCACCUCAUUUUUUUUUCUCUAAAUCUUUUUUAAAAACUUAAUUAUUCUUGAUCAUGACUCUCUGAAACUAGCAAACUAUAGAGUUUUUAGUCUACAGUGGCAUAACAUGGAACAUAUUUCGAUGAAAGGAUUUCCAUUUUUAAGAACGUGUAUCAAAUUUAUAGCUCAUCGCCAUAAUAUACCAAGGUUGUUACCUUCUCCAGCUAUUUUUAAGAGUUGAGUUCUUAGAGUUACUUAUUAUUAAUUUCUAAAUGCAUGAUAAGUCCUUUCCUAUUGAUUUCAGCUCCUUUCUGUUACAUCAGUUCUCAAAGACAUUCUAUUUUUUCAGAAAAAUAUCUUCUUCUUCUGUCUAUUGAUGAUAGCUCUCCACAUGUGUUAUCAGAAAAUGCAAAGAGUACAUGAUCUUUCCAGUUACAAACUUGAAUUGCUCGUGAGGAAUAGAGUUCUAGCCUUUCUCUUCACUUUAAUAACUUUACACUAUUAGUCUAUAACAUCUUCACUUCAGUCAAUUUCUUCUCAAAUUGUUGUCUGAAUCCUCAUAAUAGAGCACUAUGGCAAAUAAUUUAUUCUGUAACAAUGAUUCUACCCUUGCCAAAUAAAGAACUUGCUCAAACA